rnacentral:rRNA from 1 species
CAGUAGCCGCGGGAAUACGUAGGGUGCGAGCGUUAAUCGGAAUUACUGGGCGUAAAGCGUGCGCAGGCGGUUCGUUAAGACAGAUGUGAAAUCCCCGGGCUUAACCUGGGAACUGCAUUUGUGACUGGCGAGCUAGAGUAUGGCAGAGGGGGGUAGAAUUCCACGUGUAGCAGUGAAAUGCGUAGAGAUGUGGAGGAAUACCGAUGGCGAAGGCAGCCCCCUGGGCCAAUACUGACGCUCAUGCACGAAAGCGUGGGGAGCAAACAGGAUUAGAGACCCCAGUAGUCCCUGUCUCUUAUAC